AGCCUUGAGGGGGAGGAAGGAGAAAGAAGGAGGAAAAGCCACUUUUGUGUAAAGUGAAAGGCAGUGAUGUCACCUGUAAGUAUGCUGCUGUGUGACAGAGUGGGGAAUUCUCAGUAACUCCUCCUUUACACAAACAGAUCAUAUUUAAGGCAAACCUUCGUCCCUCCUUCAGCACAACUCAGCUUUCCAUCAGUCUGAACAACUUCAACAGAAACACCAUGGCAGCAGACGGGUUUCCUGCCAGUUUCUAUGGAGAACCAGGAGUAUUAGGAAUGUUAACACUCCAGGCAGCCUAUGGAUUCACAGCUGGAGGCGUUGCUUUACUGGUCAAUAAUGCCUUCCUCAUGUUGAUUGCUGCUUAUAGGAACGUGGUUCUGUUGUUUCUAACAACAAUCAAGGAGGUUGUUCUUGUCUGCUUCCUUCUCUCCACCCUGCACAGACUUCCAUACCAACUUGAAAGUGAGUUAAAACCGCCUGUUAUAAACUUUAUGUAUUUACGAUUCUGACUCUCAUCAGAACAAAUAAAGUCUAACAUCCAGAAACGAUGUAUUGCAGUUGCCAUGCUUGCAUUGGUAUCCAUCAUUUGCUUUUAUGGCACCUUGGCUUCACUGAUGAACUGCAUCUUCUCACAAAGAGUGAUCCCAAUGGGUCCUCCCAUAAUAAAGGUAAUGACUGAAGUUUAGAUUCACCUACCUUUAAGAAUCAGCAAGAAUAAUUAAUAAAAAUGUGUGUGUUUUGUUUUAGGAAAAAGUGAAACAGGAAGCUUGUGACGAGCCGUCCUGUCCGGUGGCUAGCUCGCGUCUCACCAGCGGUCUGUUGAAGAUAGCUCGACUUCUCGAGGACGGGGGUGUGUGUGGUAUUCCCACAGAUACUGUGUACGCUCUGGCUGCUUCCUGCAAGAAUCCUCAGGCGAUAGAAAAAAUCUACAACAUUAAAGUAAGAAGAUAGAGGAGGCUUGUUUAACAGCAAUAUACAUUUUCAUGAAGUCACCAUCUUGUUGAAUUGGACCUUUUGCAGGACAGACCUGCAGAGAAGCCUAUAUGCAUUUGCAUCUCCAGUGUGGAACAGCUGGUUGCAGCCAGGCCUCCUUUCAGCCCUCUGCUGUGGGAGUUCAUGAGGAAUGUGUAUCCUGGAGGCAUCAGCUGCAUUGUCAGCAAAGGAGACUGGCUUUACAGACUAGGUCA